UACGAAGGGGGCUAGCGUUGUUCGGAAUUACUGGGCGUAAAGCGUGCGCAGGCGGCUAUCCAAGUCAGUGGUGAAAGCCCGGAGCUCAACUCCGGAAUUGCCAUUGAAACUGUUUAGCUUGAGGACGAGAGAGGUGAGUGGAAUUCCCAGUGUAGAGGUGAAAUUCGUAGAUAUUGAGAGGAACACCGGUGGCGAAGGCGGCCUUCUGGACAGUGACUGACGCUGAGACGCGAAAGCGUGGGGAGCAAACAGG
rnacentral:rRNA from 1 species